rnacentral:rRNA from 1 species
UGCGUAGGCGGUUUGGUAAGUUAGAGGUGAAAUUUCAGGGCUCAACCUUGACAUUGCCUCUGAUACUGCCGAGCUAGAGAGUAGUUGCUGUGGGCGGAAUGUAUGGUGUAGCGGUGAAAUGCUUAGAGAUCAUACAGAACACCGAUUGCGAAGGCAGCUCACAAAACUAUAUCUGACGUUGAGGCACGAAAGCGUGGGGAGCAAACAGGAUUAGAUACCCCGGUA